GAGGGUAUAGCACAGUGGUAGAGCGGGUGCUUAGCAUGCACGAGGUCCUGGGUUCAAUCCCUUGUACCUCCG
rfam:Camelus ferus unplaced genomic scaffold scaffold688, whole genome shotgun sequence.